GACGAACCGUACGAACGUUAUUCGGAAUCACUGGGCUUAAAGGGUGCGUAGGCGGCGCGACAAGUUGGAUGUGAAAUCCCUCGGCUCAACCGAGGAACUGCGCCCAAAACUGUCGUGCUCGAGGGAGACAGAGGUGAGCGGAACUUAGGGUGGAGCGGUGAAAUGCGUUGAUAUCCUAAGGAACACCGGUGGCGAAAGCGGCUCACUGGGUCUCUUCUGACGCUGAGGCACGAAAGCUAGGGUAGCGAACGGG
rnacentral:rRNA from 1 species